GACGAACGCUGGCGGCGUGCCUAAUACAUGCAAGUCGAGCGAAUCAAUGGGAGCUUGCUCCCUGAGAUUAGCGGCGGACGGGUGAGUAACACGUGGGUAACCUGCCUGUAAGACUGGGAUAGCUUCGGGAAACCGGAGCUAAUACCGGAUAAUUUCUUUUCUCGCAUGAGGAAAGAUGGAAAGAUGGUUCUGCUAUCACUUACGGAUGGACCCGCGGCGCAUUAGCUAGUUGGUGAGGUAACGGCUCACCAAGGCGACGAUGCGUAGCCGACCUGAGAGGGUGAUCGGCCACACUGGGACUGAGACACGGCCCAGACUCCUACGGGAGGCAGCAGUAGGGAAUCUUCCGCAAUGGACGAAAGUCUGACGGAGCAACGCCGCGUGAGCGAAGAAGGCCUUCGGGUCGUAAAGCUCUGUUGUUAGGGAAGAACAAGUAUCGGAGUAACUGCCGGUACCUUGACGGUACCUAACCAGAAAGCCACGGCUAACUACGUGCCAGCAGCCGCCGUAAGAC
rnacentral:rRNA from 1 species